rnacentral:rRNA from 1 species
CACGUAGGCGGUUAAUUAAGUCAGGUGUGAAAGUUUUCGGCUCAACCGGAAAAGUGCACUUGAAACUGGAUAACUUGAGUAUCGGAGAGGUAAGCGGAAUUCCUAGUGUAGCGGUGAAAUGCGUAGAGAUUAGGAAGAACACCGGUGGCGAAGGCGGCUUACUGGACGAUAACUGACGCUGAGGUGCGAAAGCGUGGGGAGCGAACA